GUCGCUGGCGCCUUUUUCCUUUGUGUCCUCUGGUCAGUCAGUACUUUGAGGGAAAAGAAUUUUGCUGUUCGCGUUCGGUUGACUCCGUCCGCAAGAUCCUGCAGCUCCACAGACCUGGCGACUCCACCGCGUUCGGGCAUUUAUUGUCAUUAACUGCCCUCUUAAAUCCUUUGCUUGUUCAGGUAUGUGUUAGUUCAUUUCCACUUAUUUAUG